rnacentral:misc_RNA from 1 species
GUCGCCCUCGCGAUAGGUAUAGACAUAGCCCUUUUUCUCCUGCCUGUUCUUAGCAGGAGGAUUGAGCUCCGCCUGGAGCAGCUUGUUCAGCUCAACAGUGCCCGUUACGCCCUUUCGUGAAGGAGUAAGCACCUGUAUAUCCUCUGUGGGGGAAUAGUUAUAGGCUUUGGGCAGUCUUGUCUUUGCAAGGUCAACGAUAAGCUUCAGCGCCUGCUGGUAGUCAGUGCGCUUGAAAAAGAAGAAAUCACUGUCCUUGCGGGUAAGGUCGGGGUAUUCUCCUGCCACUAUCCUGUGGGCGUUUGUGACUAUGCAGCUCUGCUGAGCCUGACGAAAUAUCUCCUUCAGCUCGGUGACGGGAACUAUUCCGCUGUCGAUGAUGUCACCCAGCAGAUUUCCUGCGCCUACCGAGGGAAGCUGGUCGCUGUCCCCCACCAUUAUGAGCCUGCACCCCAACCGCACUGCACGGAGGAGCUUCUCAAAAAGCACCACAUCCACCAUGGACAUCUCGUCGAUUAUGAGCACGUCGCAGUCCAGAGGAUUGUUCUCGUUGUGGGCAAAGGUGAGCCUGUCGCCGGAA